rnacentral:tRNA from 1 species
GGCAUGUAGCUCAGUGGUAGAGUGCUUGCCUAGCAUAUGCAAGGCCUUGGGUUCAACCCCUAGCACCA